UACCUGGUGGCGACCGGCGCACGGGUGCGUAACGCGUAUGCAACCUGCCCCCAUCAGGGGAAUAGCCCGCCGAAAGGCGGAUUAAUGCCCCAUAGGCCCAGGGCGCCGCAUGGCGCUAUGGGUAAAGCUCCGGCGGAUGGGGAUGGGCAUGCGUGCCAUUAGCUAGUUGGGGCGGUAACGGCGCACCAAGGCGACGAUGGCUAGGGGGUCUGAGAGGAUGGUCCCCCCACACUGGUACUGAGACACGGACCAGACUCCUACGGGAGGCAGCAGUGAGGAAUAUUGGUCAAUGGGCGAGAGCCUGAACCGAGCCAAGUCGGCCGUGAAGGAAGAAGGAUCUACGGUUCGUAAACUUCUUUGCAGGGGAAUAAAGUGCAGGACGUGUCCUGUUUUGUAUGUACCCUGAGAAUAAGGAUCGGCUAACUCCGUGCCAGCAGCUGC
rnacentral:rRNA from 1 species